AGUGAACGCUGGCGGCAGGCCUAAUACAUGCAAGUCGAACGAACUCUUCGGAGUCAGUGGCGGAUGGGUGUGUAACACGUGGGAACGGUCCUUUAUGUUCGGAAUAACUCAGGGAAACUUGUGCUUAUACCGAACGUGCCCUUCGGGGGAAGGAUUUAUUGCCUUUAGUGCGGCCAGCGUCUGAUUAGCUAGUUCUUUAGGUAAAGGCUCACCAAGGGGACAAUCAGUAGCUGGUCUGAGAGAAUGAUUAGCCACAUUGGGACUGAGACGCGGCCUAAACUCCUACGGGAGGGGGCAGUGGGGGAUCUUGCACAGUGGGCGAAGGGCUGACGGAGCCAUGCCGCGUGAAUGAUGAAAGUCUUGGGGAUGUAAUGUUCUUUCACCGGGGACGAUAAUGACGGUACCCGGAGAGAAAGCCCCGGCUAACUUCGUG
rnacentral:rRNA from 1 species